GUAUGUCAUCAUUACAUGUUUAACCCCUUAAAGGUUUAACCCCUCUAUUUCAUACCCUGGAACCUGUGUGACAGCAUUGCAGUAAGAAUCUGUAUCCUGAGUUAACAAAAUGUGUGCUCCAGACCAAGAGUGGAGCCCAAGUCUCCUCCUGGAUGAGUUCUCAGAUCUCUCUCUACGCUUACAUAAAGAACCAUCUGAGCACCAGUGAGAGAAACAGCUCCCUUUCCAAAGCAUUUGGAUAGCUUAAGAAACUGCUGAUUCCCCAGUAGAGGGUAUUUAUAAAGCUAAUGUUGAUGGAUUUUUGUAUUAUAAAGUCAGCCCAGUAAUGCUGACUGCAUUUGCCUUUCUCUGUGUGUGUGUAUAAGUAUCCCAUUUUUAAAUUCUUUGAAGAAUAUUCAAAGUGUUAUAAAAUGCACCACUUUUCUCUGAGGAAGCUAUGAAAGUGUCUGUCAAAGUCUAUGGCUAAAAGGCUGGGACACAUUUUUGCAUUUAUUAACCAUUCAGCCCCUGUUAACUCUGAAGCGCAUAUUUUGGGACCAUAUUCUGGAAAUACAGUAAGUGACAGGGAAAACAGCCUGAAACUGUGUGUCUCUCAGCUCAGGUUAAUCAAGAGAUAUGAGCAUAAAACACAAAGUUUCUUACUUGAAAAUUGUUACAGACUUUCAGUAGAGACAGUGCUUUCUUAUUUUUUUUAAAGAAAGUAAGCCUUCUGUAGGCAUAAAAACAAACAAACAAACAAAUAAACAAAACCACAAAAAACCUCCAAGCAAACAAAAACCAACAAACCUUCCCACUCCCCAAAAAGUCUUUUAGAUUUUUCUGUUUGGUGUGUUGCAUCUGUAUGUAUUACACUUAUCCACUUUUCCCUGAACACUGUCGAGCCCCACUGGAUCCAAAGUUGGAUUUUGCCAACCAUCGCAUCCCUACAAGAGACAGUUACUUCAGAGGACUAAGGGCUAGAAGGUCACUGUGCUCAUAACUUGGUUUGUGUUCACUUAUGUCUCUAAGGAAAGAACAGAGACCUGAAACAGUGUCAGGCUAAAGGAACACUUGCUGUGGGUUAGGCAGCCACUGAUAACAACAUGGUGUGGGGUUAGACUCAGAUCUAGCUGAGCAAAGCUGUGGCUUCCCUAAAGACCUGAGUACUUUUGAGGACUGAAAGUUAAUGUGAUCAUUGUGUGGUAUUAUAGGACAUGCAUUUAAUAUAUGGUAAUAUAAAAUUUGUAGUCCACUGUGAUCCCAAGGUGCUGUUUAUAAAUUAGAUUCUCUUAAAAUCUUUAUUUAUACUAGCUUCACCUGGACUCCACAGCUGAGAAGCUUCUGGGAAGAGAAGUCCAUGGCAACAAAGCAAUCCAUUACCUGGGUCUCUUGCACUUGAAUAGGCGGAAGCUGGGACAAACAGCAUCCUUGUGCCCUCCCCAGGCGAGCAAGCUUACCUGCAUCAUCCAUGCAGUGUCAUUUCCUCCUCUUCAUUAGCUUCCCACAAUAUGAGACAACAGAAGUGUCCAUGUGGACAAGUAACUCUUGCUUGAUUUAUUGUCGGUGAUGCUGACACAAGUAAUAAAUUCAAAGGAAGAUGAAAAUUGCCUAACAAGAAUGAUUCAAAUAACACCUGCCUUCCUGGGCAAAGGAGCACUUAUUUUCUUCUACUCCACUGACAACAGACUCGCUGACCUUUACAGGAAUGGUGAAAACUGCACACAUGCCAAUAUUUAAGAAAUUAAUGCCUUUUUAUAUCUUGUCUCUAAACAAACAUAAAGGAAAGAGCAGGUUCUAUGCUCUGGCACUUAUUAUAUGGCAAAAAUAUGAAGAUUAACUCUCCUACCAAUAAGGGGUAGAAAUCCUAUUUAAUAAAAAUUUAAAGAUGUAUUAGAAUGAUGUAGAAGACGCAUUAAUUCUGAAAUGUUGAUAAAUAUUUUGCAAUGCUGUGUUGAAUAAGUGAUUUUUGUAACAGUCAGUGCCAAUAUAAGUUUCUGUCCACAUAUUAAGUGUAAGUUGUGAUUCUCCCAAGUGAAUGAAAUUAAGAUUUGAAUUUGAAGAGCAAUUUGCAUCUUAAAAUCACUAUAACUCAUUGAGUACAUUUGGUAGUAGCAUUCUGCCCAUUCAUGUGCCUUCUGUGUCCUAUGAGGAGAGGCUGAGGGAGCUGUGGCUGUUUAGCCUGGAGAAGAGGAGGCUCAGGGAAGACCUCAUCACUCUCUACAACUCCCUGAAAGGAUGUUGGAGCCAGGUGGGGGUUGGUCUCUUCUCCCAGGCAACCAGCAGUAGGACAAGAAGGCAUGAUCUUAAGCUCUGCCAGGGGAGGUUUAGGUUGGAUAUUAGGAAGAAAUUUUUUACAGAGAGAGUGAUCAGACAUUGGAAUGGGCUGCCCAGGGAGGUGGUGGCUUCACCAUCCCUGGAGGUUUUUAAGAUGAGACUGAAUGUGACACUUAGUGCCAUGGUCUAGUAACAGUGGCAGUGUUGGAUCAAGGGUUGGACUUGAUGAUCUCGGAGGUCUUUUCCAACCCAGUUGAUUCUAUGAUUCUAUGACUCUGGGUUUCAAGAUAGGAAGUAAUUGCUGGAAAUAAAUGUAAUAUGUCUUUCUGUGACCUUACAGCUGGAGAUACUACUGUAUAAAAAUAUAGAGAAAUACUCUUUUCCACCCAAAGGCCUGCAGAGACAUUGGUAUCAUGAGAGAUUCAAAACUCAAGCUGAGCUGAUCUUGAGCAAUCUGCCUUUGGUGGAUGCCCUUUGAAUGGGUAGCUGGACCCAGAAGACCUCUGGAGAUCCCUUCCAGCUACUUUGCCCUGAACCACUUUAUGGUUCCUUGCUGGUUCCUGCAUGCAUGGCAUUAAGAAUUGUGUGAUUUCUGAAGGAGUUAAAGGGUUAAUAGAUGAUGAAAAGGGAUGAGGAAAGAAGCCAAAAGCACAGAUUACUUAGUGUUAGGGCUGUCAACACUUCCAGUACCUCUUUACAACCUUUUUUAAUUAGGACUAAAUUUUGGAACUGAACAUCUCCAAGAGUGAAGAACAGCCUUGUAUAAAAGGUGUGUAAUAUGGAUAUGCGAAGCUCUCUUCAGGAUGGUUGGUUGAUGGGGACUGCUUAUCUUCUGGACUGGUCUUGCUGAGAGCUUGGUGGAGGAGCAGCAGCAGAGAGUACUGAAUAUGUGUCAUACACCCAAGAGCAGUCCUUCAAGGAGUGAGCAUAUCACACAGCUGCCUUAUGGACUGAUCUGCUUCUUGCCAUGUCCCAGAGAAACAGGACUCUGGUGGGAACCUUAUACUUUGUUGGAGCACCUGAAAAGCCAGCUAGAACAGAGAAAAGGAAAACUUGCCAAGACCUGACUAGAACGACAAGCAGGUUAAAAAAACCCAAACCCACAACCCAUGAUUUAAACACCACAGGAGGCAAAAAACAAAUUAAGGAUGUAGAUUCCCUGUGUGCACAUAAUUACAAGUAUGUGAGUCACUGGAGUCAGCAGUUGUUCAUCUACCUAAAGACCUGGAGAGGAUGUCUGGCUGCACUCGACUUGGGGAGUAGCUAAGCGGAUUUUGUUUGUUUGUUUGUUUGUUUGUUUAUUAAGCUAUUGCUCAAGGGGGUAGCAGUGGGGAGAGAAAAUUGAAGGGUGAAUUUACACUGAUUAAAGAAACACCGUCUGUGUACACAGGCGUUUCUGAGGCACAGUGUGAGACUGGAAGAAUUCUGGGUUUGGUGCUGCUAAAUUAGUGGUGAAAAGAGGAUCUGAAUUUCAUUGAUACAGUAACAGUGUAAGUCCCAUAGGGAUAUUUUUCAUUGCUGUAUUGCUCUAUAUACAAUGUUUUAUACAUAUAUAUUUUUAUUAUGUAUACAAACAGUCAUUAGCAUUUGCUGGGAACAUAAAGUAAGAUGACUGGUAGCUUUGCUUCCUUUCUUAAUAAUCUAUUCAUUCAGCACUUAGAUUUCUCUUGUUGAUAGUUUUUCAUCUUCUUAAAUCAUAAAAUGAAAGCAGAAGGAAAUACAGAAAGAAGGAAGUAAGAAAAUGAUCAAAAAUUUUUGUAUCUGACAGAUAAAAGUCCAGUGCUUCUAAGGCAAAAAUUACAGUGUAUUUUCAUUAAGAAAAUAAGCAUGUAGGAGAGGGAGGAUUUGCUUAUGAAUAUCUCUUAAAUACAUGAGCAUAUUCAAAUGAUAAUAAACAGGUCCCGACAUAGAUAUAUAUGUAAUAGCAAAACAUCCCAUGGUUGGUUUCUAAUUUCUAACUAAUUUUGACUCAUUAAGUGUGCUUAACAUGAGGACCAUGUUUCUAUCUAUUGGUUAAACAAAAUGCUAUUGGGCUAACUACUAGUGCAGUGUCCUGAGCUGCCUACUGAAAUCCCUGUUACAAGUCCAGAUUUAUUCAUUCAGGCCAGUGCUGGCUUCUCAGGGAAGGGAUCUUCAUGGCUUGUCUGUGUUGCUCUGCAGUUGUUCUCAGACUGUGCUUUAUGGAGAAGUGCAAGAGAGUCACAGAUCAAUGGCUGAAAAUUAAGAGUUAAAAAGUGUUACUAAAGAACAUGAAUGCCUGUGCUCACUGCCUUUCACUCCCAGCUCCUGGCAGACGUCCUUCAGCUGUUCAAUACUCUUGCUCAGCAACAGCAAAGUGUUAACAUCUCAGAGAAUGUCAAUUGUUGAGCAGUGCAAAAUGGCACAACUCUUCAGUCUUCCUGAGCUGAAAGAGACUAGAGGCUUUAGGUAAAGGGAAAAGCUAAGAAACCAGAGAAGUGAUCACAACAUAGGAAGCAAAGCUGAGAGAGGGAAAUAAAUACACAGUGAAAGAGGUUUGAGAGAGAUACUGCUGGUUCAGAAAAUACAGUCAUAGGAACAUUUCAGGGAAAGAUACUUCAUUAAUAAAUCUAAGAGACUGAAAUCUGAGAUUUCCUAUUUUAUUUGUCAUAUGAUGAUCACCAUUAAAUACUUUGGUUGGAUGAGAUAUUUCCAAGGAGUCAGUUGAGCACUUUUCAUAGGUAUGGUUGAGGCUGCUGCUUCUGAGAGAAACACAAAGAAACUCCAGUCAGCUUCCCUCCUUGUCUCCAGAUAUGUGCACUUUCUGACCAUGUGAAUAUAGCUUUCUGCAGUGCAUAAGGUAUAGAAAUGCAGUGCCAGUAGAGCAUUUGCUUUUCAUUUUGCAGGCAAAAGUCCCAUUCACAUUUAUUUCCCACAGAUUUACUUAAAUCAGUCUUGGGCAGAUAGAAGAUGGAAGAAAACGAAAGAUUAGGAGCAAGACUGAAUGCUGACAGAGAAGAAAAGCAGGUUAGAAAGAAUAACUGAGACCUAGAAUUAAAAAAUGACAAAUGGAUUACCCAGACCUCUGUUCUCACACAGUAACAGAAGGAAGUAGGGGAAUGAAUAAAAAGGAAAAUGAAAUGCAGAGAAAUGAUAAUUGAGGAAUAUGAAAAGCUCAGAAGAGCUGCUAACACAGGCUGGGCCAGAUAUCUCACUUAGUGUAGCUCUACUGAUUUUGUAGGUAUCUCGGAGUGGCUUUAUCAGAGUGGGUAUGCGUGUCAGACCCACUGAGGGGAGCAAACCCAAGUUUACUUGUGCAGUAGGUCCUGGUCUUUCCUUAUACUUAGGUGUUUGAACUCUGCUUUUGGGAGAUUUGUGUGCAUCUGCCAUUCCCCACUGGUCCCCAGCCCUGUGCUGUGGUGGAGCAAAGUGGGAAAUUCAGGCAGACCAAAAUAAAAGCACAAGGAACACAGUGGUGAAUUAAAACACUGCUGAUGAAUACAGGCUGAUGGACUUCCGAGAGAAUACUCUGAGUUUUCAUGAACAUUGAUGCUUUGAAAUUCGCUGUAACUAGUAAGGAAAAAGACUAGGAUAUCACUCUGGACAGAUCAUUGUAAACCUCUGCUUAAUGUGCAAAUGUGAAGCAGUCAAUUAAGAAGCAACCCAGUCAAACUGUUAUCUAAUGAACUAAAGUAAUUCUGUCUCGGGAGGAUGUAACAACAAGAGGGAGGAGCUGCAAAUAACAAAUUUAUGGCAUAUUUUAAGACAGAGAGAGAUUUUGACUAGAUGAUCUUACAAGUAAGGUCCCUUCCAACCUGAGCUGUUCUAUGAGUCUAUGAUUUUGAAAUGAGAAGAGGCUGAAAAGUAUCAGGACAGUUAUAUGUGAAAAGGGCAUUGCCCAGAAGAGGUAGUUUGCUUCUGGGUCACUUUUUGCUUAGUAACUAUGGGAGAAGACAAAGUAAACAUGAAAAGCAAUGACCUUGGAAAAUAAAUAAAUAAAUUUAAAACUGUAGCCAAUAUAUCUGGUUGAUAAAGACACUUCCAUAUCCUGGGAGUUGAAACAAGAACUGAACAUUUGCAUGGACAAUGAAAACCUCCGUUCUCUCUUCAGAUAGGAUCCUCUUUUUUUCCCCCUACACUUCUUAUUAAUCGGGAUUAUAAAAACUGAAUUUGCUGGGAUUCUGAAAUUCUGAAAUUCUGAAAAAACUGAGCUAAUUGCCAGGUGUAUGUUUCCAUUGCAGAAAGGAUAUUGCUGUGCAGAUAUGAUUGAAUUAACUGAGCAAGAAGCGAGGCAGAGGUCUCACCCAAAUUGCACUCUUUGUCACUCUAGGCACUUGAGAUUGCUGUGUUAAUUAUAGAGUUUGGGUAUGUCUCUGUGGCACUUCUACCUUAAAACUGAAAAUGCAAGAUAUAAACUUCUUGUCAGAGAUUAGCUCAUAUAUCUCGCACCUUUCUCUAAUUGUAAAAUCACGUGAAAAGAUAGACUGAGAAGAAUUCAAGAUCUUUCUAGUCUGUCUCUCCUCAACAGAACUAGACCAAAAAAAGCUGUGUGUCUUCAUGCAGAACUGUCUAUCUUUAAGACCAAAGAAUGGACAUUACACAGCCUGCUCACCUGCCACUGUGACAAAAAAGAUUAUUCUCUUUGUUUUUAAAAAAGCUUAUUUUUGAUGAUUCUUAUUGUCUCUUUCAAUCUGAUGAAAUGAUCCAUUGUAGAACAUUACUAUUUCUCUUUCCAGGUAUUCUCCAAUAGUGUACAGUUUUGUUCAGUUUCUUAAAAACUCAGCACAGCAUUUUAGCUGGAGAUUCUCCAGUGCUGGAUAAUUAUUUUUUGAGCAUCUCUCUAUGUUUCUUGACCUCUCAUCACAGCAUUUUUGAAGCAAUAGGGCUUUAUUAAUUCACAUUAGUAAGGUGGUAUGUUUUUUAAGUUUUGCACUCUGUUCUGUCAUGCAGGUGGCUAAUGGAAUUAUCAGAGAACAGCAGACUCAGGUGUAAUGCACUGCAGAGCCAUGAUUGAUGUAGUCCUCUGUUUGAUAAUCCGCUGCUGGUAGCUACAUUUAAACUAUGUUUUUCUAGCAGUUACACCCAACUUGAAAAAAAUUCCACCCAGAACAGUUUUUCUUUGCCUUCUCCUGGGAUGGUGUCAAAAACCUUAUUGAAGAGAAGGUAUUUGACAUCUACUGUAGCUUCCAUAUCUUUUUGUCAGCCUCCUGUCACAGGAAGAAAUUAGAUUUUUUUGACGUGAUUGUUCCCAGGAAAUCAACUCAGACUGUUGUUUAUCUUGUUUUCAGGGCUUAUGAACAGUCCUUUUUUAAAUUGUUUCAGUGCUUUUUAGGGGAUUUGAAAUCGGGCUGGUCAUUCUCUAACUUCUCCUGUAUAUAUCAGCUUUCUGUUGGCCCUUGCCAGUUUUCUAAUAUUUCACUAGUCACCUAGGAAUCCUUGAAGGUAGUGGGUAAUGGUUCUGACUUUGCUUCAGCCAGAUACUUAAAUACAAUAACUGAACUAAUUACUUUUUAACCUCUUACCUGUGUUAACCUGAGAUACUAUCCCACUGCCAUCGGUAUUGUUUGCUACCAUAUUGUGGCUGAUCGCUCUAGUAAAGAGAUGUAAAAAAGCAGUAAGUUUUGGACUUCUCAUCACUACCUGUUGAUAAUUUUUCCUUUGCAAUUUGUGUUCCAACAUUUUUUUUCAUCUUCUAGUACAAGUAAUGUUCUUGAACGAUUUUCAAUUAGGCAACAUGUCACUUUGUAGUUCUUUCUUGUUUCAUGCCUUCGUGAGUCUAUCAUCUUUUGCUGUUUCUGUAAGCCUGUCUGUAACUGAACAUGAUUUUUGCCUCCUGUAUGUCUUACAGUAUUUCUAGUCAGUGAAAACACUAUUGUUUACUGAAAUAUCUCUCUCUACUUUUCUCGUUAUUAUAGUUUACACUUAUGUCCUUAGUGUAGUCAUGUUGAGGAACUGCCAUUUCUCAUUGACUAUUUUUCACCUUCAAUUUAGCUCCUAAAGAGAUGACCAGUCAGUUUUUUGAGGUUAGCAGUAUUUUGCAGUCCAUUGGUUUAUGUUUUUCUGUUCUUUCUCUGUAAUGAUGUUCACUUGAGCUAUUUUCUAUAUUCAGGUUUUCAAAUGACUCAUCAUUGGUUAGAAUCAAAUACAGAAAUACCUUUUUUUCUGGAAGAUUUUCUGCUCUCUGUAUUGAGUAGUUGUUGCCAGAGCAUCUGAAGGAAAAUGGGAUUCUGUGUCCUGGUAUAUCCAGUUUCCAUUAGUUGAGUAUCUAGCUGAAAUGCUUGAGUGACACCAAGUCCUUUCAUUUAAAUGAUUCUGUUCAUAAAAUAAUCUUCUACCAGAUCAUCCUGUUUUGCUGAACUUUAAUACAUUGCCCACCACAUGUAUUUCCUUUACUCAUUACUUAAGAGCUUUUCAGCUGCUCAAAAGUCCUCUGCAUUCUGGGAUCUCAGAACAAAUAAAUAUGUACUUCAUAUUUGAAAUAUCAGAUCCUUCCUUUCUACUCAACCUUUACUUCUUGAGAAAGUUUUGUACUACCUCUUAUGCUAGCUCUGAGAAUGUGGUUGGAUUGAGUCUCUAUGAUAAAUAAGCAGUAAUUUUGACCAUGUUUGAAGACUUCAGUCUUGUUUAUUCCAUAUACUUGUGUAUUGGUAUGCAGAUGUCUAAGAUAAUCACUGAAUUUGAUCCACUAUUCUCUUCCUUGUCUUGUCUUUAAUCCUAUUUUGAAUAGGUUCAUGCUCCCAAAUUUUUGUGGCUUGACCAGAUAACUCCUGUUAAUGCUUAUUGGUGGUGACUUGCCUCCUUUGUCAGCUCUCAUUUAUUCCUAAGACAGUUCAUAUAGGCUAUACAGUCUCAUGUGCAAAGAUUGACCUCUGGUGGAUUAGAGGGGCUACUGGUGUGACCCGUCUGGGUUUCUGCAUCUCUUAUGUGUUUACAUCUCCUUUAUCACUAUACACUUUGGAGCUGAGGUUCCUGAUAGUGGCAGGUGAGACUCUACUUGGUGUUUUCCACCUCUGCAUGAGCUGCAGGCUGAUGGCUCCACAAGUGUCAAAGUCUCUCUAUUGGGCUCUUCUCAGAUGCUUGGUCCUCCUCAGGCUACCAGGCAGUUUAGUGGGAGAGGAAGACAUGGGGAUGGAGGAGGAAGCUAGCUCUCACCCAAGCACCUCUUGGUGAGAGCAGUCAUCUCACCCUGGCAGGGUUUCCUUGUGUCAGCAGAGAGAGGAGAGGUAUCCAGGAACGUCUUUUCUCCCAUUGACUUUUUCAAGCAAGAAGCAUUCCUCUCUCAUCUGCUCACUGAUUUUAGAGGUUUGUUUGUUUUUUUUCCUUAGAGUUAUGUCUUUUCUUUAAAAUAAUUGAUUUUUUAUUGGGGGAUCCUGAGAAGUAUAUUCAAGUGGAGAAGUUGGGUGGACAUGAAACUGCUGCUCCUCUUUUGACCUUACUUUCCUGCUGUUAGGGAUUUAUUUUUUAAAUUGUGUGUAAAUGCAUUUCACAUGCUACUGUGAAAGAUGGAGUUCAUUAAGAACUGCAUGACCUGCCUUUAUAUUACAGAUUCAGAUUGGAUAAAUAAGGGGAAAUUCUGGGGCUGGGGAGUGACAGCAGGGGAGGCUGAAAUACAGGCAGUAAAAAUAAAUGUUGCCCAAUCCUAUACAUUUCAAAUAAAAAAACCUGGUUUUUUUAAGCUUUUUUCUUAUUUCAGUGCAUUGUGUUGAACUGUUCUGAUGGACGAGACUACAAAGCCAUCGGGAAAUUCUUCAAAGGUCUGGCACAAUCUGGAGCCUUGGUGUGCUUUGAUGAAUUUAAUCGUAUAGAGCUGGAGCUCCCAUACAGUGCCACCCACCCUAAAUGUGCGACCUGCCCAGAAGCCCUGCUCGGACGUGAAUGGGAAGAAGCCAUUGCAUCAGACCAUGUAAUCACCAUGAAGACACUGGAGCUGAAUGGAUCUGGUUUUCUCCAGGAAGCCAGAAGAACUAGAGGAUAUGUGUGAAAGCUGUUUCACAUACGCUUGUCUGAGCUAGUGCAAAGAUGGUCACAUAAUGAUGUGUACUUGAAGAAGAAUGCAAAAAUUUCUUCUUGCCAUUGAGCUAGUGUUUGGUCUCAAGGAAGCUGAUAUCUGCUUUGCUAUUGGCAUUUAUAAAUAAGGGAAAUUGAUGGAAUUAUCUUAAAGGAGAGCUUUACUUUCAACUCACAUGGGGUAAAAGAGGAAGUAAGUCUCUGUUAUUUGCCUCCCUACACCUGCUUGAUUUGAACCGCCGCAUGCACUUUUCCUCACUGCCAAUUUUUGUAUUCCCUGACCAGCAGUACUCUUCUCUUCCCAGAUUCUUAACCUCCCUUGCACAUUCUCUGCCACUGAUUAAAGUCUGAAUUGGGUUCCAUUUCUCCACAUUAUCUUGUGGAAGCUGAAGCAUGCACACAGGUCCAGAUUUAACACUGUCUUCAUAGACACAUGCUCUACUUUGGCACAAUGACAGAAUUGUUAAUUUGUCCUCAAAAGAUGACUUACUAGUGCUCCCUCCUACAUCCAUGGGAAGGACGGACACUGCCUAAUGGAACAUAUCUUCUCAGUGGCCUCAGGGCAAAUGUCUACUCCCAGGACUGUGAUUCAAACUGUUGCACUGAGGUCUACAGUAGUGACCUGUGUUGUAUACAAAGACUUCUGUAUUAAGAGAUCAUCUCUCACUUUUGAAAACAUUAAAUUUUAGAAACAGAAAUGCUGUUUACUGGGAGGUGCUCACUUCCAGCCUGUGUCUUCCAGACCAAAAUCAACAUGAGCAAGACAGCUUGCAUUUUUUCCUUCCCUGAGAGAGGCUCAAGGGAAGAUUCAUCCUGCUCUCAAGUGUGAUUUCCUGAUCUGUAACCAGUACCCUCACCUGAAACCCACUCUGACCUAUAGAUCUCUGUGCAUUCAAAAUACUGGUAGAGUUCAGUACCAUCUUCAGCUUUUCUGCCACCCUGAAAAGGUGUGACAUCCUCCAAGUAUAGGAUAAGACUAUUGAAUGCUAUUGAAGGUGUUGAGUUGACACCAUAGCCUUAUACUGCCCAAUGCUGAUUCUGUAAAUUUUGUGCAAUAAUUCUUUCAAAAAUGUUCUUUUCCCAUCUGUCAAACAUCUUCUGGUGUGUCUCUCUGCAUAUCAAUGAUGGUUAUGUAUUUAUGAUAAUUUGGUAAUACUUUUUAUUUUAUGGUAGCUCACAAGGCUAUUCAAUUUUCACUACUAUUAUAUGAUACUCUUGUGCAAUGUAUCACUUUACUGGUAUUUUGUUUAGCUUAUUUUAAUGACCAUGUAUUUACACAGCAGCCUUCUGAACAGCAUACCGUCAUCAUUUUUCCUUAAAAGUGACAGGAAUACCUGAUUUUGCCUGUCCAUUUUCUAAAUAUCACUUUAUAAAUUCAGCUCUUUUGUACCCACUGAAACCACUGUGAAUAGGUUCUUCUAUUUCCUUAUUUCCUUAUUUCCUUAAGCAGACUUUUAAGCUCAUUUGUCCUGUUUCUAACAUUUUCAAUAUUUUUUUCUUUGAAAACUUCAAAGAAGACUCUGGAUAAUUAGUUCAAACACUGAAAUCCCAUUUUUUCUUAUGGAUUGUCUUGAUAUUCAUAACUAUUGGUGUGAAAUGUCAGCUGUUUACAGUUUGUUUUCUUUUUUAAGUAUGAAAACAUUUAUUUUUGUCCUUAAAGGUAAUUAUAAUUAAAAAUAAUCCUUCACUAUACCCUCUUAAAAUUCUCAUGCAAUGUAUCUCUCACUGUCUUCUAUAUCAAAUGUGUGUAUUUUAGAAGAUUGAAUAUAGAGUAUCUCAAAAUUUAAACCUUAAGAUGGAUCUGGACUUUUUUUCUGCUACUUAAAAUUUAAUGCAGUUCAAAGAUUGUGCACUGGACAUGCCUGCCAGCACCCUUGCUAACAAUUCAGAAGGCAGAGGAGGAUUUAGAUCAUUUGUCCGAAGCUCUACAGUGCUAGCUCUGCAGUAGCAGUCUCGGUAAAAUUGUUUAACAUUUAUGUAGUGAAACAACUUGAAAUCCUGACCUUACCACAAAGAAAGUGUGGCCGUUAACUUGAAGGCAUUAUAUACUCUCUUGCUAAUUUAGCAAUUUAUGUUGGCUUGUGAUUAAUGAAAACAACUACUGCAGUUGAUUUACUUGACUGGGACUUGGAUCUGUGCAGAUUUCAAA